GACGAACGCUGGCGGCGUGCUUAACACAUGCAAGUCGAACGGGUCUGCCCUGUUUUUUGCGGGGUGGGUCAGUGGCGAACGGGUGAGUAACACGUGAGUAACCUGCCCCUCACUUCUGGAUAACCGCUUGAAAGGGUGGCUAAUACGGGGUGUUCUGGCUGUGCCGCAUGGUGUGGCUGGGAAAGAUUCACUUUUGUGGUGUUUUGGUGGGGGAUGGGCUCGCGGCCUAUCAGCUUGUUGGUGGGGUGAUGGCCUGCCAAGGCUUUGACGGGUAGCCGGCCUGAGAGGGUGGGCGGUCACACUGGGACUGAGAUACGGCCCAGACUCCUGCGGGAGGCAGCAGUGGGGGGUAUUGCACAAUGGGCGGAAGCCUGAUGCAGCGACGUCGCGUGAGGGAUGGAGGCCUUCGGGUUGUGAACCUCUUUCGCCGGUGAAGAAGGUCCUGCUCUGUGUGGUGGGGUUGACGGUAGCCGGGUUAUGAAGCGCCGGCUAACUACGUG
rnacentral:rRNA from 1 species